GAUGAAGAACGUAGCGAAAUGCGAUACUUGGUGUGAAUUGCAGAAUCGCGUGAACCAUCGAGUCUUUGAACGCAAGUUGCGCCCGAAGCCAUCAGGUUGAGGGCACGUCUGCCUGGGCGUCACAUAUCGUUGCCCAAUGCCUAUUGCAGUGCAAUAGGAAUUUCUAGGGCGAAUGAUGGCUUCCCGUGAGCGUUGUUGCCUCGCGGUUGGUUGAAAAUCGAGUCCUUGGUAGGGUGUGCCAUGGUAGAUGGUGGUCGAGUUAGAACGAUACCGAUCAUGUGCAUGCUCCCCAAAAUAUGGCCUCUAUGACCCACACGCGUCUUUUGACGCUCAUGACGAGACCUCAGGUCAGGCGGGGCUACCCGCUGAAUUUAAGCAUAUCAAUAAGCGGAGGA
rnacentral:misc_RNA from 1 species